rnacentral:rRNA from 1 species
UUACGGAGAGUUUGAUCCUGGCUCAGGAUUAACGCUGGCGGCGUGCCUGACACAUGCAAGUCGAACGGGUGCUAGCUGCCCGCAAGGGUGGCUAGCGCUAGUGGCGGACGGGUGAGUAACACGUGGGCAACCUGCCUGAGAGUGCAGAAUAACCCUGCGAAAGCAGAGCUAAUACUGCAUGUGGUUGUUGGAUGGCAUCUUCUGACAACUAAAGUCGCAAGACGCUCUCAGAUGGGCCCGCGGCCUAUUAGCUAGUUGGUGAGGUAACGGCCCACCAAGGCGAUGAUGGGUAGCUGGUCUGAGAGGACGGACAGCCACACUGGGACUGAGACACGGCCCAGACUCCUACGGGAGGCAGCAGUGAGGAAUUUUCCGCAAUGGGCGAAAGCCUGACGGAGCAACGCCGCGUGAGGGAUGAAGUCUCUAGGGAUGUAAACC